UGGAAACAUAUUUUAAAAAGACAAGUGUUGACACGUGGAGCAAAAUGGAUGGGGGAACUUUUUUAUAUGAAAAAUCGUAUCGCCGCACGACGAUACUCAGUUUUGAAAUUUUUUAAAAAAAGACAUGUGUUGACACGUGGCGCCAAAUGGUUGGGGGACCUUUUUUAUAUUAAAAAUAGUAUAGCCGCUCGGCUAUACUCAGUUUUGAAAUAUUUUCUUAAAAACACAAGUGUUGACACGUGGCGCCAAAUGGUUGGAGGACCUUUUUAUAUUAAAAUAGUAUAGCCGCGCGGCUCUACUCAGUUUUGAAAUUUUUUUAAAAAAGACAUGUGUUGACACGUGGCUCCAAAUGGUUGGGGGACCUUUUUUAUAUUAAAAUAGUAUAGCCGCGCGGCUCUACUCAGUUUUGAAAUUUUUUUUAAAAAGACAUGUGUUGACACGUGGCUCCAAAUGGUUGGG
rnacentral:lncRNA from 1 species